UACGUAGGUGGCAAGCGUUGUCCGGAUUUACUGGGUGUAAAGGGUGCGCAGGCGGGACUGCAAGUUGGAUGUGAAAUACCGGGGCUCAACUCCGGGGCUGCAUCCAAAACUGUGGUUCUUGAGAGAUGUAGAGGUAAGCGGAAUUCCGAGUGUAGCGGUGAAAUGCGUAGAUAUUCGGAGGAACACCAGUGGCGAAGGCGGCUUACUGGGCAUUUUCUGACGCUGAGGCACGAAAGUGUGGGGAG
rnacentral:rRNA from 1 species